rnacentral:rRNA from 1 species
GGUCUUUUGUUUAUAUAAAAGAUCUGGCCUGCCCAAUGAUUUAAUUUAAUGGCUGCAGUAUUUUGACUGUACAAAGGUAGCAUAAUCAUUUGUCUUUUAAUUGAAGUCUGGAAUGAAUGGUUGGAUGAAAAAUUUACUUUCUUUAUUUUUCAUUAAAAAAUUAAUUUCUGAAUAAAAAAGUUCAGAUUUUGUUAUAGGACGAGAAGACCCUAUAGAACUUAAUUACCCUAACAAGAAUUUUAUUUUGUUUAUUUUUAAAAUUCUUGUUAGGGUAAUUUAGUUGGGGUGACUAAAAAAAUUUAAUAACUUUUUUUAUUUAUAUCAUUUAUAUAUGAUAAAUUGAUCCUUUUUUAGGGAAAAAAGAUUAAGUUACCUUAGGGAUAACAGCGUUAUUAUCUUAAAGAGUUCUUAUCGAUAAGAUAGUUUGCGACCUCGAUGUUGGAUUAAAAUAAGUUUCAGGAGCAUAAGAUUGAAUACUAGGUCUGUUCGACCUUUAAAUUUUUACA